AUUUUCCGCUCCUUCCCGCCGCGCUCCAUCACUCAGGCGGAGCGGUGGGAGGGACGGCCUGAGGGGGUGGUCCUCCGCCGCCUCCCCGGGCGCCUGAGCGUGGAGGGCUCGGCACCUGCUCCCUCUGCCCGCCCCUCGGUCCAGGGGGUGACGCGCGGCAGCCGCAGCUCCCGAGCGGGAGGGGCGGCCCCGGUAAAGGGAGAGACGGCGCUGCUGCGGCUCCGCGCCUUGCUCGGGGCACGGAGUUGAUGAUUAACCUGCGGCUCAAGUCGCGCCCAGGGUGUGGUUUAACCUUGUCCGAGGUUGCGGUACCUCGGAUUUUGCCUUUCUGCCCGAGCCCCUGGUACUGCCAGUUUUGCUGCUACGGGAGCGCUGCGGGGAUGUGCAGCUCCCCGUUGAAAAUCUCUACUGUUAAUAUCAGCCUAGACUUCGCUUUACAGUCGUUUUUGGAGAUUUGAGGCUCCAGAGGUCGAGGUGAUGUGGGACUCUCGGUCUCGGCGAGCAUUUUUGCAGCAGCAGCAGCCUCGGGCUGCGGUAGCUGGCACUUGAAUCCAUGUUGGCUCCUUUUCCUCGGGCGUGAGCUGCAAGGAGCUCAGCAGCUUCGGCAUUUAGUCCCAUUUGGGGAGACAUCUGUCCUGUGUGAGGAUGCCAGUACAGUUAUAGCCACUGACACUAUACAUGACCAGAGGCUCCAGUUUCUAGCAUCUCUUUCUACUGUCAUGAAAGUAGUUUCACACCUCAGCCAAAACUCAAAACCAAUCAUCUGCUUUUUAUAUGGCAACAGCACCUAGCAAGGUGUGGACACAUCUGUCUUGGUAGGAUGUCAUGAGAGCAUCUCCUUGCAAUUUGUUUCUCUUCCCUCAGACAAGGUGCCAGCACAGUGACUUGUUCCUUGGUAGUCAGUUCAAUUUCUUCAGAUUAUCUGUAAAUUUUCAAUAAUGGCAAUACAUUCAUUCUGCCAUUUGGAGGAGCCUGUGCCACAGAAUAAUGAUCUGAAGAAAGCUCACUUAUUUGCAAGGAAGAGUCUUCAUUUGGGAAUUAGCACCGAUGCAGCUAAGAGGUGCUUCCUCAAGUUCAGCAGAACUGUUAUUGUUUCACCUCUGGUACAUGGACAAAACUGGGUUUUCUUCAUAGGUCAGGAUUCCUGUACCUGAAGAGUAAGAAGAAACCAUGUUGGUAGGUGUGGGUUGCUUGUCAGAAAUCUGUUCCAAAGCUAGAGUGCGAAGCAAGCAGGGUACUAAUGAUGAAUAUGAAUGGAUAUCUUAAGGAUAACAAUGGACAAGGCAUCUUCAAAAGCAGUGGCGUUCUGGAAUUUUCCAUUUUUAUUAUUGUCCAUAUUUGAACCCUAUCCAAUUUUUUAGUACCCUUUUGGAGAAGGGGUGACUUGUACCUCAUAUGGGAUUUUCUUUUUCUGCAAUAAGCAUGUUUUUGGAGACCCUGAGAAUUUCUUAGCAUGUAAGAUUUGCCCAUGAUUCACACUGGGGAGAAAAUAGCUGGUGCCAGCCAUGAAUAGAAUCCAGCUCUUGUUAUAGGAUUGAGGAAUUUAGGAAAUACCAAAGCUGAAGUUGAUGCACAUAGCUGUGCAUCAUCUACCAGAUAUUUAGACCCUAAUCCUGCCACUGGAUUUGUUCAAAUGGACCUUGAUAGCUGUGGGGCCUGAGUUGAUGGGACUCCUGGAUGACUGCAAGUUCCUACUCUGAAGAUCUGAUUGUAGGCCUGAACCUAAAUUUUUAUUUCCUUCCCCUGUCUACCUGCUUCUAAUUGAUGAAAAUUAUCCAAAAAACUGUAUUAUCUCUGAGUCUUAUGCACAUCACUUUAGUAGCAUUCAGAAACUGUGUGCUUGGGAUGUUGUCAGACAUUGUUAAAAUAUUUGUGUUCUGUCAUGUGCCAAUAUCUCAUGAUUGCUCUGAUUACUGUGUUAUAUUUUUACAUUUACUGUCUUCCUAUCUAAAAUGGAGAUCAUCACCUGUGUUUUCAGUCAUUGUGGUAUUUCUCUUAACUCAGAUUUUUAAGUCAGAGUAACUGUUGAAACUAUUCAGAACUUUUUUCAAGAUGUGGGUAGAUUUGUUUUUUCCUUGGUGGACACAGAAUAUAUCUAUUUUAUUUUGCAGACUUAGCCUACUAUUACUGAAAACUUUCAAUAUGAUGAUACUCUAAUGCAGAUCAAUAAAAUAAGUAGGAAAAGGCAUUAACUUUUACUAGAUCUCCUGUUGCUUUUCUAUUUCUGUGGCUGUGAUUACAUGACAUACAGCUGAGAGUGAGGAUAUUUUUAUUUUUUUGUGAGCCAGUGAAUAUCUUUUGAUUACACUGAGUGCUGUUCCCUGUGUAUUCCAUAUGACCAUAUUGCAGUUUCACCGAGUGCUAAAGUUAUAGCCCUGAUAGAAGCUGGAAAGGACUUUGCAAAAUCACAUUAAAAGAGUUUGAGAGGGAAAA